CCUAAACAAGUACCUAUACGUCACACUGUUCAGCACACUCUACUUCCACCACUUGGCAGAGUUACAAUUCGGUUCAUACACCUCCUAUACGGUACCUACUACACCUGUCCAUUCCCAUUUUCAAACUCGACAGUUAAAAACACACUAGCUCGAGGACAUACCAGUUUGGAUUUUUCAAGUCACUUCUAAGUCUAAUGUAUACCUAAGGAAAACAACGGAUGUUACGAUAUUAGUGCGAGUUGAUACACGUACCUCAUGGUCUCUACUACGUUUUUAACGAACGGCUAUCCGUCGACCCGCGUACGUAUUAACAGCUCCUCCGGCUUCGGUUGCGAUAAGACCAAACUGACUUAUUGCAUAGGACUCCGAGGGAACACCACCUCUAGCUGAUACGUCUCCCCUUUCCUCGAUCCCCGACUAAGACAUUCGUCUAGUAACAGGAUGGGUUAAUAACAACUAUAAUUUAGACGGAACUUAUUUAUAGUGUAGUCCUGACAGUCUUCCUGUUUGUUACCCGACCGAGUACUUGAUCGGUUGAAAAGGUUUCGAGUACCUCUGAAACACCAACGCCUACCACAGGGUCUGGUUGAUGUACUAGAUGAGGCCUUCCUUUUACUACGUCGGAAUCGCAGCCAUAGUCCGUAAAACUACCUACAUUUCGCCUGAACUAACAGACACUACCGCGGGGACUAAAUCUAGAGUCUAUGAAAAACCUGCAUUAAACGUCAUGGGUAUUCUACGUCACAGGUUUUUAUUACGAUGGAAUUGGGACGUCAAAUACAAAUCAUAAGAUGGAAUUUUACAAAUGAAAACCGCGUUAUCGAAGAAACCUAAAAAUAUAACUUGUAACCUGGUAAAAAUGAGUUGGAAACCUAUUAAACAACGACAAAUACAACAUCUUGUUGUGUACAUUGUGUUACCAAGGUGAUUGAACAAUAUAAAAGGUGAUUACAGGAAGGACGAAGGUAGAUGUAACGACGGGGUAGUGAGGAGAUGGUUUAGGGUCGAAGUACCACCUAAGUAGAUGUCCUUAGGUGUGGAUGCCGUCAAGAGGAUCUUUGGUAGACGGGCUUCAAGUAGAGGGAUGGUGAGA
rnacentral:rRNA from 1 species